CAACAUUAAACUUUAAUGCACAGGAAAAGCAAAUACAAACACAAACCAGGAGUGCAGUAUAAUCGAGAAAGACGGAAGCAGCAAAGAUGGGCGAAUAAGGACUGCAAUGGAAUGAAUCGAAAAAGUAGCUAGAUAAAAACAAGACAGGAUGAAGAAGCAAGUGCAUGACUGACCACCACUAAGCGGUUACCACUUUACUGUAGCUGAAAAGGCCCUAAUAUUGUAUCCGCCAUCCUGUUCUCAAGCGGAACUGACACUUCGACUCAAGAAAAAGAAAAAGAAGAUACGAAAGCACCAGCCGGUAAUAACUGGACAGCAGAGGCACUUGCAAUUUAAAUGGCCCAGGGCCGAAGGGGUAUAGAGCCAGGGAUUGGGUUGGGGCAAGGUUGUUGUUAGGCUGCUGGUUGAACGUCGGCAAAGGGGCAAAUGCAAAGUGCACAAGAAAAACUGUCAAUUUGCUUUAUGCUGGCGAAAGAGAAGAUGUGAAAAUGGACUUUAUAAGUAACUUUAUAAUAUGAAGCGCCAUUUGCAAAUAUCUCAGGAAAAAGCUUUCUAGCCCUGUUAUCCCAUUUCCUGGGGCAACUUCUUAACCAUUUUUUUGAAUUCGGAAUUUAAGAUGAGAAAAUUUAUAGUUAAUGUAAUUUGUUGUUAAUUAUUGUUCCAAGUCUAAGAAUGACAAAUAAAACCAUUUGUCGAAAGAGUUA